rnacentral:rRNA from 1 species
AUGUAUUACACCGACUGUGGUGGCGGCUGCUCUGAAGAAAACCUGCAGAUAUUUUCCAUUAAAGUGGAAUCGAUAAGAGGAGGUUUACGGUGGCCGCUAGACGUGUCUGGCAUCGUCACCGCGCGCGAUACUUUGGACACGGAUCGCAAGCGUAACAUUGUCUUCGCCCGUUCGAGGAGUAACUGCCAGACCAUCACAGAGGAGUGUCCGUAUCUAGAACUCACGGGUCCUACUCGUGGUGUUGUCGCUGAUUUCGAUCCGGGGAGCUUUGAGAUUGUGCUCAAAGCUAAGGGCGCAACCGAAUCUGAUGAUAGAGACCUCAGUUUUCUAGUCCUGCCAUUGAAAGAACACGAGUAUUGUAAAUAUGAUAGGUAUUAUACUAGCAGACGUAGCACACUGGAGUUAACACUCCGCCAUGUCGACAGAUCUGUGGAGGCGACAAUCCAUAUGCGACUCGUUGGUGGUUCAUCAUGGCCACGCGGUUUGCAAGGUGUAUUUACCGCCAGUAUUGGCAGUAUUGAUGAUGCUGAAGUUUCGUUGCUUUCUUUUCAAGAUGAUAAACUCCCAGUCAUUGCUGAUGAUGGCACCAUCAAGCUAACACGACGUGUUGUCUCUGUUGAACGCAAGCGUGGAGAGCUGAAAGUUUCUAUCAUGGCACAUUGUGCAAGUGAUGAGCAAGAUGCUACGACAGAUGACAUAGUUUUCACACCCAAGAACGCCGGUAGAAGUUGUGGUGUGCUUAACGUCGGCACGUGUAAGAUCCAAAUCACCGUGGCCUGGUCCCUUUUCGACUUGUAA